rfam:TPA: Bos taurus chromosome 13, whole genome shotgun sequence.
UUCCUGAUAGCUCAAACGGUAAAGAAUCUGCCUUCAAUGCGGGAGACCCAGGUUAGAUCUCUGGGUCAGGAAG